UCCACUCAGUACUGUAAGUCUCUCUGGAUAAGAAAGUCUGCUAAAUGACAAAAA
rfam:Salmo salar isolate Sally breed double haploid chromosome ssa01, whole genome shotgun sequence.